CAAAAUAUAGUUUAUAAAAAAAAAUAUUAAUUUUGGAGAUUAAAGAAAUAAUUAGUUUUUAUUAUUUUG
rnacentral:tRNA from 1 species